rnacentral:rRNA from 1 species
GGUUAAGGUCCGGGGAAGUCACGGACUACAAUGUCAAGUUCCAGCGGUAGCACAGAGAGCUUGCUCUCGGGUGACGAGCGGCGGACGGGUGAGUAAUGUCUGGGAAACUGCCUGAUGGAGGGGGAUAACUACUGGAAACGGUAGCUAAUACCGCAUAACGUCGCAAGACCAAAGUGGGGGACCUUCGGGCCUCAUGCCAUCAGAUGUGCCCAGAUGGGAUUAGCUAGUAGGUGGGGUAACGGCUCACCUAGGCGACGAUCCCUAGCUGGUCUGAGAGGAUGACCAGCCACACUGGAACUGAGACACGGUCCAGACUCCUACGGGAGGCAGCAGUGGGGAAUAUUGCACAAUGGGCGCAAGCCUGAUGCAGCCAUGCCGCGUGUAUGAAGAAGGCCUUCGGGUUGUAAAGUACUUUCAGCGGGGAGGAAGGCGAUAAGGUUAAUAACCUUGUCGAUUGACGUUACCCGCAGAAGAAGCACCGGCUAACUCCGUGCCAGCAGCCGCGGUAAUACGGAGGGUGCAAGCGUUAAUCGGAAUUACUGGGCGUAAAGCGCACGCAGGCGGUCUGUCAAGUCGGAUGUGAAAUCCCCGGGCUCAACCUGGGAACUGCAUUCGAAACUGGCAGGCUAGAGUCUUGUAGAGGGGGGUAGAAUUCCAGGUGUAGCGGUGAAAUGCGUAGAGAUCUGGAGGAAUACCGGUGGCGAAGGCGGCCCCCUGGACAAAGACUGACGCUCAGGUGCGAAAGCGUGGGGAGCAAACAGGAUUAGAUACCCUGGUAGUCCACGCCGUAAACGAUGUCGAUUUGGGAGGUUGUGCCCUUGAGGCGUGGCUUCCGGAGCUAACGCGUUAAAUCGACCGCCCUGGGGGAGUACGGGCCGCAAGGGUAAAAACUCAAAUGAAAUUGACGGGGGGCCCGCACAAGACGGUGGAAAGCAUGGGGGGUUAAAAUUCGAUGGCAACGCGAAAGAAACCCUUACCUGGUCUUGACAUCCACAGAACUUAGCAGAGAUGCUUUGGUGCCUUCGGGAACUGUGAGACAGGUGCUGCAUGGCUGUCGUCAGCUCGUGUUGUGAAAUGUUGGGUUAAGUCCCGCAACGAGCGCAACCCUUAUCCUUUGUUGCCAGCGGUCCGGCCGGGAACUCAAAGGAGACUGCCAGUGAUAAACUGGAGGAAGGUGGGGAUGACGUCAAGUCAUCAUGGCCCUUACGACCAGGGCUACACACGUGCUACAAUGGCAUAUACAAAGAGAAGCGACCUCGCGAGAGCAAGCGGACCUCAUAAAGUAUGUCGUAGUCCGGAUUGGAGUCUGCAACUCGACUCCAUGAAGUCGGAAUCGCUAGUAAUCGUAGAUCAGAAUGCUACGGUGAAUACGUUCCCGGGCCUUGUACACACCGCCCGUCACACCAUGGGAGUGGGUUGCAAAAGAAGUAGGUAGCUUAACCUUCGGGAGGGCAGCGUACCACUAGAGACCCAUUACCUU